GACGAACGCUGGUGGCGUGCUUAACACAUGCAAGUCGAACGGGAUUUAGUAAACAGAAGCCUCGGUGGAAGAUUACUAAUGAGAGUGGCGAACGGGUGAGUAACGCGUGAGCAACCUGCCUAUGACAGUGGGAUAGCCUCGGGAAACCGGGAUUAAUACCGCAUAAAAUCGUAGAAACACAUGUUUUAACGGUCAAAGAUUUAUCGGUCAUAGAUGGGCUCGCGUCUGAUUAGCUAGUUGGUGAGAUAACAGCCCACCAAGGCGACGAUCAGUAGCCGGUCUGAGAGGAUGAACGGCCACAUUGGAACUGAGACACGGUCCAAACUCCUACGGGAGGCAGCAGUGGGGAAUAUUGCACAAUGGGGGAAACCCUGAUGCAGCGACGCCGCGUGAACGAAGAAGGUAUCCGUAUCGUAAAGUUCUGUCCUAUGGGAAGAUAAUGACAGUACCAUAGAAGAAAGCUCCGGCUAAAUACGUG
rnacentral:rRNA from 1 species